GAGAGUUUGAUCCUGGCUCAGGAUGAACGCUGGCGGCGUGCCUAAUACAUGCAAGUCGAACGCACAGCGAAAGGUGCUUGCACCUUUCAAGUGAGUGGCGAACGGGUGAGUAACACGUGGACAACCUGCCUCAAGGCUGGGGAUAACAUUUGGAAACAGAUGCUAAUACCGAAUAAAACUUAGUGUCGCAUGACAMAAAGUUAAAAGGCGCUUCGGCGUCACCUAGAGAUGGAUCCGCGGUGCAUUAGUUAGUUGGUGGGGUAAAGGCCUACCAAGACAAUGAUGCAUAGCCGAGUUGAGAGACUGAUCGGCCACAUUGGGACUGAGACACGGCCCAAACUCCUACGGGAGGCUGCAGUAGGGAAUCUUCCACAAUGGGCGAAAGCCUGAUGGAGCAACGCCGCGUGUGUGAUGAAGGCUUUCGGGUCGUAAAGCACUGUUGUAUGGGAAGAACAGCUAGAAUAGGAAAUGAUUUUAGUUUGACGGUACCAUACCAGAAAGGGACGGCUAAAUACGUGCCAGCAGCCGCGGUAAUACGUAUGUCCCGAGCGUUAUCCGGAUUUAUUGGGCGUAAAGCGAGCGCAGACGGUUUAUUAAGUCUGAUGUGAAAGCCCGGAGCUCAACUCCGGAAUGGCAUUGGAAACUGGUUAACUUGAGUGCAGUAGAGGUAAGUGGAACUCCAUGUGUAGCGGUGGAAUGCGUAGAUAUAUGGAAGAACACCAGUGGCGAAGGCGGCUUACUGGACUGCAACUGACGUUGAGGCUCGAAAGUGUGGGUAGCAAACAGGAUUAGAUACCCUGGUAGUCCACACCGUAAACGAUGAGCACUAGGUGUUAGGAGGUUUCCGCCUCUUAGUGCCGAAGCUAACGCAUUAAGUGUUCCGCCUGGGGAGUACGACCGCAAGGUUGAAACUCAAAGGAAUUGACGGGGACCCGCACAAGCGGUGGAGCAUGUGGUUUAAUUCGAAGCAACGCGAAGAACCUUACCAGGUCUUGACAUCCUUUGAAGCUUUUAGAGAUAGAAGUGUUCUCUUCGGAGACAAAGUGACAGGUGGUGCAUGGUCGUCGUCAGCUCGUCUCGUGAGAUGUUGGGUUAAGUCCCGCAACGAGCGCAACCCUUAUUGUUAGUUGCCAGCAUUCAGAUGGGCACUCUAGCGAGACUGCCGGUGACAAACCGGAGGAAGGCGGGGACGACGUCAGAUCAUCAUGCCCCUUAUGACCUGGGCUACACACGUGCUACAAUGGCGUAUACAACGAGUUGCCAACCCGCGAGGGUGAGCUAAUCUCUUAAAGUACGUCUCAGUUCGGAUUGUAGUCUGCAACUCGACUACAUGAAGUCGGAAUCGCUAGUAAUCGCGGAUCAGCACGCCGCGGUGAAUACGUUCCCGGGUCUUGUACACACCGCCCGUCACACCAUGGGAGUUUGUAAUGCCCAAAGCCGGUGGCCUAACCUUUUAGGAAGGAGCCGUCUAAGGCAGGACAGAUGACUGGGGUGAAGUCGUAACAAGGUAGCCGUAGGAGAACCUGCGGCUGGAUCACCUCCUU
rnacentral:rRNA from 1 species